rnacentral:rRNA from 1 species
GUAUUUAACAUGGAUAACUGUGGGAAUUCUAGAGCUAAUACAUGCAGCAAGCCUUCACCCCUUGUGGGCAAAGGCGCAUUUAUUAUUUCAAAAACCAAUCGGUUGUAUUUUCGGAUAUAACCGUUAGCUUGGUGAGACUGAGUAACCACAGCAAAUCGUAUGGCCUUGUGCUCGACGAUCUGUCAGUCAAGCAACUGCCUUAUCAGCUUGUUGUUAGGUUAUAUGCCUAACAAGGCUUCAACGGGUAACGAACGAUCGGGGUCGGAUAUCGGAGAGGGAGCUUGAGAAACGGCUACCACUUCCAAGGAAGGCAGCAGGCGCGCAAAUUACCCACUCUCGGCAUGAGGAGGUAGCAAUAAAAUGUAUCGAUGCGGGGCCAUUAGUGCCUUCGUAAUCGGAAUGAGUACACUUUAAAUCCUAUAACAAGGACCUAUUGGAGGGCAAGUCUGGUGCCAGCAGCCGCGGUAAUUCCAGCUCCAAUAGCGUAUAUUAAUGCUGCUGCGGUUAAAAAGCUCGUAGUCGGAUCUGGGUUACCGGCGGGCAACUCAUGUUGUUUCAUACAACAUGUUGUUUGCUAUACGUGUCGCUUCGGCGGCGCUGCCAGUAUAGUGCUGUCUCUUUGUAGGCACGCUAUAUCGGUCGCCGGAACCACGGGCCGGGUUGGGCAGCAUGCUCUUCAUUGAGUGUGUUGUUCACUCGGUGCGUUUACUUUGAAAAAAUUGGAGUGCUCAAAGCAAGCGUACAGUCGCUAUGCGGCUUGAACAGUGGUGCAUGGAAUAAUGAAAUAGGGCCUCGGUUCUAUUUUGUUGGUUUUAAGAUAUCGAGGUAAUGAUUAAGAGGGACAGACGGGGACGUUUGUAUUGCGACGUUAGAGGUGAAAUUCUUGGAUCGUCGCAAGACACACUAAUGCGAAAGCAUUCGUCUAGAAUGUUUUC